rnacentral:rRNA from 1 species
CCUACGUGAGGCUGCAGUGGGGAAUAUUGGACAAUGGGCGAAAGCCUGAUCCAGCCAUGCCGCGUGUGUGAAGAAGGCCUUCUGGUUGUAAAGCACUUUCAGUGGGGAAGAAAGCCUUGGGGCUAAUACCCUCGAGGAAGGACAUCACCCACAGAAGAAGCACCGGCUAACUCCGUGCCAGCAGCCGCGGUAAUACGGAGGGUGCGAGCGUUAAUCGGAAUUACUGGGCGUAAAGCGCGCGUAGGCGGUCUGAUAAGCCGGUUGUGAAAGCCCCGGGCUCAACCUGGGAACGGCAUCCGGAACUGUCAGGCUAGAGUGCAGGAGAGGAAGGUAGAAUUCCCGGUGUAGCGGUGAAAUGCGUAGAGAUCGGGAGGAAUACCAGUGGCGAAGGCGGCCUUCUGGACUGACACUGACGCUGAGGUGCGAAAGCGUGGGUAGCAAACAGGAUUAGAUACCCCUGUAGUC